rnacentral:lncRNA from 1 species
GCUCCAGCCCUUGGCCCCCUCCACAUCCUUAACUCUGCCCUCCUGCUCACCGUGGGGACAUCCUCUGGGAGUGUCUCCUUUUCAUCUUCUCCAAGAAAUGUAUCUCUCUGCCUGUCUCAGGCUUUGGCUGUGCCUCCUGCACUUUGACCGUUGUUUAAAUACGAUCCUGGGUAAAAUCUGGUAAAAUUGUGCCUGCUUCCAGAGACCGCAAACUCCCUCCGCUCCUGGAAUCUGGGAUUUGAAAGCUCCCCCGGUGUUUCUCAUCAUCUUACCAGCAGCAUCUUCAAAGCCUGCUUUGUUGCUGGCGCUGUUCUGGGAACCGGGAUUUUGUUUGUGAUAAUUGAUGAGGAAACGUUCUCCCAAGCAGGAGCAUCUAUCUGAUAAUUGGGGAAGGAACGGCUGAAUUAGGAACAGGCUGACCACAGGCGGGAAAUACACCUGCAACGCAUCCAUCACAGCUGACAGAAGAAUAGAACAAUGUGAUGCCCGGAGCCUGUCAUGCCUGGAGACCAACAUCCCUGGCCCCCCUCAUUGCCCAUUUUCCCUCUGUAACUGCCUCAAGAUUCUCUAAACCUUGAAGAUGGGUUUUGUGAGACAUUAGUCACCUAUCUUGUGAUUAGCCGGCUAAUCUAAUUAAACUUCCU